GACAGAGGGUGCAAACGUUGUUCGGAAUUACUGGGCGUAAAGCGCGUGUAGGCGGCUUCGCAAGUCGGGUGUGAAAUCCCACGGCUCAACCGUGGAAGUGCAUUCGAAACUGCAAGGCUAGAGUCCUGGAGAGGAAGGUGGAAUGCUUGGUGUAGAGGUGAAAUUCGUAGAUAUCAAGCGGAACACCGGUGGCGAAGGCGACCUUCUGGACAGUGACUGACGCUGAGACGCGAAAGCGUGGGGGAGCAAACAGG
rnacentral:rRNA from 1 species